AUUGAACGCUGGCGGCAUGCCUUACACAUGCAAGUCGAACGGCAGCACGGGGCAACCUGGUGGCGAGUGGCGAACGGGUGAGUAAUGCAUCGGAACGUGCCAUUGAGUGGGGGAUAACGUAGCGAAAGUUGCGCUAAUACCGCAUAUUCUGUGAGCAGGAAAGCAGGGGGACCGCAAGGCCUUGCGCUCCUUGAGCGGCCGAUGUCAGAUUAGCUAGUUGGUGAGGUAACGGCUUACCAAGGCGACGAUCUGUAGCGGGUCUGAGAGGAUGAUCCGCCACACUGGAACUGAGACACGGUCCAGACUCCUACGGGAGGCAGCAGUGGGGAAUUUUGGACAAUGGGCGCAAGCCUGAUCCAGCCAUGCCGCGUGAGUGAAGAAGGCCUC
rnacentral:rRNA from 1 species